UGGGGAAUAUUGGACAAUGGGGGAAGCCCUGAUCCAGCAAUGCCGCGUGUGUGAAGAAGGCCUUCGGGUUGUAAAGCACUUUUGUUGCGGAAGAAGGUACGCUAGUUAAAAGCUGGCGUGCUUGACGGUACGCAAAGAAUAAGCACCGGCUAACUCUGUGCCAGCAGCCGCGGUAAUACAGAGGGUGCGAGCGUUAAUCGGAAUUACUGGGCGUAAAGGGUGCGUAGGUGGAAUUGUAAGUCGAACGUGAAAAGCCUGGGCUUAACCUGGGUCCUGCGUCCGAUACUGCAGUUCUAGGGUAUGGCAGAGGGGAGUGGAAUUUCCGGUGUAGCGGUGAAAUGCGUAGAUAUCGGAAGGAACACCAGUGGCGAAGGCGACUCCCUGGGCUAAUACUGACACUGAGGCACGAAAGCGUGGGGAGCAAACAGG
rnacentral:rRNA from 1 species